UGGGGAAUAUUGGUCAAUGGACGGAAGUCUGAACCAGCCAUGCCGCGUGCAGGAAGACGGCCUUCGGGUUGUAAACUGCUUUUGUUGGGGAAGAUACGGACGGUACCCAACGAAUAAGCCCCGGCUAACUCCGUGCCAGCAGCCGCGGUAAGACGGAGGGGGCAAGCGUUGUCCGGACUCACUGGGCGUAAAGGGCGUGCAGGCGGCUCUGUGCGUCGGCGCUGAAAGCGCCCGGCUUAACCGGGCGAGGUGCGUCGAUACGAUAGAGCUUGAGGGAAGGAGAGGCUAGCGGAAUUCCGGGUGUAGUGGUGAAAUGCGUAGAGAUCCGGAGGAACGCCCGUGGCGUAAGCGGCUAGCUAGUCUUGACCUGACGCUGAGGCGCGAAAGCGUGGGGAGCGAACCGGAUUAGAUACCCGCGUAGUCC
rnacentral:rRNA from 1 species